rnacentral:lncRNA from 1 species
GACCUUUCUCAAAGAGCCUUUCCCAGGAUGCCUUGCAGGAAGGUGUAGCACCUGUGAGUAGCCAGCCUGGAGCUACCUGGAGGACCGGAUUUGGGUGUGAAUGGGUAAGGAUGCACUGUGGCUUGCUGGUCUGUUUCUUGGGGUUUUCAUAGACUCCCAGUAGCUAUGUAUUGGAAAGAUGAUUGGCCUUCACUCUAAAACAACAUGCUGGGAAACAUAUAUUGUCUACUCAGGGUCUCACAUGGUAUUGGGGAUGUUUAAUUCCCUUUGGCUUUGCCCAGAAAAUGGGAUUUUCCACUCAUUCCGAGGAAACUGGUGCCAAGGAGGCAUCUGCUCAAGUUCACCUGGUAAAUCCAAGUCUGCCUGAUAUCACAGCUGUGCUGUUUCCAUGAUUUUUGAUUUGUCCUUCAUUCUCAUGCUUUCUACAGAUGUUGCCCAGGAGGAGUUCCUCAGGACUUCUUUUUCUUGAUAAGGUAAGUUUUUGGAAAAGUAAGAAUGUGUGCAUCAUCUUUAUGACUUAAGAGAUUCCUCUGGGGUAUGUUUACCUAUUACUCUGCAAAUUUUUCUAGAAAAAUGAAUUACCUUAAAGUUACAUGAAAUUAGGAUCAGUUUUUGCCCAUGUAAAAUUUUUUCUUAGUCUUCUCAUUUUUUCCCCUCAUAAUGAUAUCAUAUGUAGGGAUCGGAGCCCGCCUGUGUGAUUUGAGGAAUAGUAGAGGUUGAUCACUUAAUGGAUUGCCAUAAUUCCUGGACAGUUUAAUCAAGGCAUUCUAUAUCUCUGUUAAUGCUGAUGUAUUGCAUUGAAGGUGCAUCUGUGUCAUAGUUAAAUUAAUUUAUUGGGCAGGGUUACCAGCUAAUCAUUGAGAGAAUGGAUUACUAGACAGAUGAGUUUCAAUUAAAUAGAGAUAUGCUAUCAAAAAUGGUAGCCAUGGCCACAUAUGACAGUCAAGCACCUGAAAUAUGGAUAAUUUGAAUUGAGAUGUGCUAUAGUUGUAAAUCACACAUUGGAUCUUUAUAACAACAACACACAAGAAUGUGAAAUAUUUCAUUAAAUGUUUUUGUAUUGAUUACAUGUUGAAAUGACAAAGUUUUGGAUAUGCUAAGUUGAAUAGAGAUAUUAUUAAAAACUGAUUUUACCUGUUUCUUUUUACUUCAACGUGGCUAUUAUAAAAUUUCAAAUUAUGUGUGGUUCACAUUUGGGCUUGCGUUAUGUUUCUAUUGGGCUAUGCUAUACUAAAUAUGGAGAGUGGCCAGCCCUUGAAGAACUGAUGUUUAUGAAGGGGAGCAUGGUAUAACCCAGUAAGGGAGUAGGGAAGCAAAAAAAAACUGUAACAAAGAAGUGUCAGAAAUUUGUCCUUUUUCACAUUUUGCUCCGAGUACAACUUAGUCCAAGAGACAAAAGGUAACUUACCUCGCCCAAGCUACCACUGUUGCAAAUGCAACCUGGUAGUGGGAUAUAUGCCUAUGUAUUUUCCCUCUAGAUCUGCAGUAAUGGUAACUCAGCCACCAGCAGAAUCUAGCUGACACCCAGUUGAUGGUUGACCAGAAAUCCCAUACCUUUCUGCCGGCCGCCAUGGUACCCUGGAGCUGAAAAUGGGUGUUGAGAACACAGUCUCUCAGGAGGCUCUGAGAAGGGCUUGAGUGAAAUGGGUUUGCUGUGAUGUGACAGAUGGGCUCUGAGCGGCUGAGUCAAGACUGGGAAGCUCAGGCCUACCUGAUACUGGUACAUCUGGAUCCGCCCUUGAGGUCAGGCUUAGUGAUGGCCUGGUCGUGAUAGGCCUGCUUGGAAUGGGUUUAAAUAUUGGCUCUGGGGUGCCUGGGUGGCUCAGCUGGUUAAGCGUCUGACUCUUGGUCUUGGCUCAGGUGGUGAUCUCAUGGUUUGUGGGAUCAAGCUCCGCCUUGGACUCUGUGUUGACAGCAUGGAGCCUGCUUGGGAUUCUCUGUUUCCCUUUCUCUCUUCCCCUCCCCCACUUGUGUUCUCCCUCUCUCUCUUUCUCUCAAAAUGAAUAAAU